rnacentral:rRNA from 1 species
GACGAACGCUGGCGGCGUGCUUAACACAUGCAAGUCGAACGGAAAGGCCCUGCUUUUGUGGGGUGCUCGAGUGGCGAACGGGUGAGUAACACGUGAGUAACCUGCCCUUGACUUUGGGAUAACUUCAGGAAACUGGGGCUAAUAUCGGAUAGGAGCUCCUGCUGCAUGGUGGGGGUUGGAAAGUUUCGGCGGUUGGGGAUGGACUCGCGGCUUAUCAGCUUGUUGGUGGGGUAGUGGCUUACCAAGGCUUUGACGGGUAGCCGGCCUGAGAGGGUGACCGGCCACAUUGGGACUGAGAGACGGCCCAGACUCCUACGGGAGGCAGCAGUGGGGAAUAUUGCACAGUGGGCGGAAGCCUGAUGCAGCAACGCCGCGUGCGGGAUGACGGCCUUCGGGUUGUAAACCGCUUUCGCCUGUGACGAAGCGUGAGUGACGGUAAUGGGUAAAGAAGCACCGGCUAACUACGUG